CAAUAGCGUAUAUUUAAGUUGUUGCAGUUAAAAAGCUCGUAGUUGGAUUUCGGAUGGGACUUGCCGGUCCGUCGUUUCGAUGUGCACUGGCCAGUCCUAUCUUGUUGUCGGGGACUAGCUCCUGGGCUCCACUGUCCGGGACUAGGAGCUGACGAGGUUACUUUGAGUAAAUUAGAGUGUUCAAAGCAAGCCUACGCUCUGAAUACAUUAGCAUGGAAUAACACGAUAGGACUCUGGCUUAUCUUGUUGGUCUGUGAGACCAGAGUAAUGAUUAAGAGGGACAGUCGGGGGCAUUCGUAUUUCAUUGUCAGAGGUGAAAUUCUUGGAUUUAUGAAAGACGAACUUCUGCGAAAGCAUUUGUCAAGGAUGUUUUCAUUAA
rnacentral:rRNA from 1 species